AAUUUUGCGCAAUGGGGGAAACCCUGACGCAGCAACGCCGCGUGAAUGUUAAGCCCUUCGGGGUGUAAAGUUCUGUCAGUGGGGACGAAACUUGACGGUACCCACAGAGGAAGCACCGGCUAACUCCGUGCCAGCAGCCGCGGUAAUACGGAGGGUGCAAGCGUUGUCCGGAAUCAUUGGGCGUAAAGCGUUCGUAGGCGGCAUACCAAGUCUGGUGUUAAAUCCCGGGGCUCAACUCCGGUUCGGCACUGGAUACUGGUAAGCUAGAAUGUGGUAGAGGUAACGGGAAUUCCUGGUGUAGCGGUGAAAUGCGUAGAUAUCAGGAGGAACACCGGUGGCGUAAGCGCGUUACUGGACCAUAAUUGACGCUGAGGAACGAAAGCCGGGGGAGCAAAUGGG
rnacentral:rRNA from 1 species